GUGGGUACAGCUCAGUGGUAGAGUGCAUGCUUAGCAUGCAUGAGGUCCUGGGUUCGAUCCCCAGUACCUCCA
rnacentral:tRNA from 1 species